GUGUCAGCAGCCGCGGUAAAACCAGCACCUCAAGUGGUCAGGAGGAUUAUUGGGCCUAAAGCAUCCGUAGCCGGCUAUGAAAGUUUUCGGUUAAAUCCAUAUGCUCAACAUAUGGGCUGCCGAGAAUACUCCAUAGCUAGGGAGUGGGAGAGGUAGACGGUACUCCGUAGGAAGGGGUAAAAUCCUUUGAUCUACGGAUGACCACCUGUGGCGAAGGCGGUCUACCAGAACACGUUCGACGGUGAGGGAUGAAAGCUGGGGGAGCAAACCGGAUUAGAUACCCGGGUAGUCCCAGCUGUAAACUAUGCAAACUCGGUGAUGCAUUGGCUUGUGGCCAGUGCAGUGUCGCAGAGAAGUCGUUAAGUUUGCCGCCUGGGAAGUACGUACGCAAGUAUGAAACUUAAAGGAAUUGGCGGGGGAGCACCACAAGGGGUGAAGCCUGCGGUUCAAUUGGAGUCAACGCCAGAAAUCUUACCCGGGGAGACAGCAGAAUGAAGGUCAAGCUGAAGACUUUACCAGACAAGCUGAGAAGUGGUGCAUGGCCGUCGCCAGCUCGUGCCGUGAGAUGUCCUGUUAAGUCAGGUAACGAGCGAGAUCCCUGCCUCUAGUUGCCACCAUUACUCUCAGGAGUAGUGGGGCGAAUUAGCGGGACUGCCGCAGUUAAUGCGGAGGAAGGAAGGGGCCACGGCAGGUCAGUAUGCCCUGAAACUCUGGGGCCACACGCGGGCUGCAAUGGUAGCGACAAUGAGUUCCUAAUCCGAAAGGAGGAGGUAAUCCACAAACGCUACCACAGUUAUGACUGAGGGCUGCAACUCGCCCUCACGAAUAUGGAAUCCCUAGUAACUGCGUGUCAUUACCGCGCGGUGAAUACGUCCCUGCUCCUUGCACACACUGCCCGUC
rnacentral:rRNA from 1 species